UACGUAGGUGGCAAGCGUUGUCCGGAUUUACUGGGCGUAAAGGCGCGUAGGCGGCGCAACAAGUCACUUGUGAAAUCUCCGGGCUUAACCCGGAGCGGUCAAGUGAUACUGUCGUGCUAGAGUGGCGGAAGGGGCUACUGGAAUUCUCGGUGAUAGCGGUGAAAUGCGUAGAUAUCGAGAGGAACACCUGCGGCGAAGGCGGGUAGCUGGGCCGACCACUGACGUGAUGCGCGAAGCCAGGGAGCGAACGG
rnacentral:rRNA from 1 species